UACGAAGGGGGCUAGCGUUGUUCGGAAUUACUGGGCGUAAAGCGCGCGCAGGCGGCUAUCCAAGUCAGUGGUGAAAGCCCGGAGCUCAACUCCGGAACUGCCAUUGAAACUGUUUAGCUUGAGGACGAGAGAGGUGAGUGGAAUUCCCAGUGUAGAGGUGAAAUUCGUAGAUAUUGGGAAGAACACCGGUGGCGAAGGCGGCUCUCUGGACCGGAUCUGACGCUGAGGCGCGAAAGCGUGGGGAGCAAACAGG
rnacentral:rRNA from 1 species